GUGAAUCAUCGAAUUUUUGAACGCAAAUUGCACUUUCUGGUAUUCCGGAAAGUAUGCCUGUUUGAGGGUCAGUUAAAUAAAAAUCGGAGUAGUUGUUGCCUUUCGUGGUGACGCGCGGGAAUUGGGUCGUCUUACCUACGGUUAAGUGACUUAAAAUGUUGGCAAGAUUUUAGAAAGUAUUUAAAUCGAUUACGUACGUAUGAGAUAUCGAAUGCUAAUUCGGUUCGGUCAUUCCCAUGAUUCGCGCCUAUAAUUUUUCAU
rnacentral:misc_RNA from 1 species